CGAGUUUGAUCAUGGCUCAGAUUGAACGCUGGCGGCAUGCCUUACACAUGCAAGUCGAACGGCAGCACGGAGCUUGCUCUGGUGGCGAGUGGCGAACGGGUGAGUAAUAUAUCGGAACGUACCCAGGAGUGGGGGAUAACGUAGCGAAAGUUACGCUAAUACCGCAUACGAUCUACGGAUGAAAGUGGGGGACCGCAAGGCCUCAUGCUCGUGGAGCGGCCGAUAUCUGAUUAGCUAGUUGGUGGGGUAAAGGCCACCAAGGCAUCGAUCAGUAGCUGGUCUGAGAGGACGACCAGCCACACUGGAACUGAGACACGGUCCAGACUCCUACGGGAGGCAGCAGUGGGGAAUUUUGGACAAUGGGGGCAACCCUGAUCCAGCAAUGCCGCGUGAGUGAAGAAGGCCUUCGGGUU
rnacentral:rRNA from 1 species